ACGCUCGACACCUACGGGAGGCAGCAGUGGGGGAUAUUGCACAAUGGGGGAAACCCUGAUGCAGCAACGCCGCGUGAGGGAAGACGGUUUUCGGAUUGUAAACCUCUGUCCUUGGUGACGAUAAUGACGGUAGCCAAGAAGGAAGCCACGGCUAACUACGUGCAGCAGCCGCGGUAAUCUGAGCGGGCUGGCAAGGC
rnacentral:rRNA from 1 species